rnacentral:lncRNA from 1 species
AUAAGUUACAAACUCUGAUAAAUACAACUAACAAUGAUUUUUGUUUACAUAUUACCCAUCAAAUAAAAGAGAAACAAACACAACCACAUCAGAAGAUACAAGAAACAAUCCCAACAUACACAAAGGCGGCAACAACAUCUCCACCUACUCACUCCUCUUGUCUUAUGAAAAUAGUUUACAUGUUCAAUGUCAACAUGCCAAUGCUAUUGUCUUCUAAUGAGAAAUACAUAUAUUCGUUUAAAACCCAUUAAGACUCAAAUACUAAUUGUCACUCAUUUUAUAGUUAUUUUUAUAAGUCUUCAUGUAUUUGUUUUAAAGGUCCAGUAAAAGCAACAAGUUUAAAAAUAAAAAAACAUAUAACCAACAUAAUAAGAAUAAAAAAAAUUAUUACUUAAUACACACAACUUAUACAACUAAAUUGGAGAAAAAAUAUCGAAAAACAAAAGGUACUUUCAACAACCUUAAUAUAAUUUAUGUAAUCUUAACAAUACAUGUAACAAAUUAAAAGGACAAACA